GGCAGAUGGGGAACAGAGAGGGGUGAGUGUGAUGGAGGUACCUGUACCAGACAUGGUGAGACAGGCCAGGGCAGAUGGGGAACAGAGAGGGGUGAGUGUGAUGGAGGUACCUGUACCAGACAUGGUGAGACAGGCCAGGGCAGAUGGGGAACAGAGAGGGGUGAGUGUGAUGGAGGUACCUGUACCAGACAUGGUGAGACAGGCCAGGGCAGAUGGGGAACAGAGAGGGGUGAGUGUGAUGGAGGUACCUGUACCAGACAUGGUGAGACAGGCCAGGGCAGAUGGGGAACAGAGAGGGGUGAGUGUGAUGGAGGUACCUGUACCAGACAUGGUGAGACAGGCCAGGGCAGAUGGGGAACAGAGAGGGGUGAGUGUGAUGGAGGUACCUGUACCAGACAUGGUGAGACAGGCCAGGGCAGAUGGG